CCAACAAGAAAGCAAAGAGUGAUACACUUGGUGAGUGAAUGAGACAAAGUUGUGUGAGAGUGUUUCUAGUGUUCAAGUUCUAUAAUCUUGGAGUAUUAUAGAUACUUGGUGUUCCACCGUGGGUUCAAUUACAUCUAAGUAAGGGUCUUGAUAUAAGUUAUAGGCGGUGAAGAGAAGUAACCUUGUGUUGUCUCAUUAUAAGUUGUACUCACUCUUUAUUUAGUGGAUUGAUUGAGCUCAUCCAAGUAUAUUUUGUGUUCUUGUCUUGUUUAUUUUUUACAUUAUUUAGUUUAGUAUAAUUUUAUCAUUUUUAUAUCGCGG
rnacentral:lncRNA from 1 species